AGUACACAGGGUGGAGAUGAUACAGCAGACAGCACUGCUCAGUGACAGCCGGCAGUGCUUGAACAGCAGCAGGCGCCUUUGACAUGUCCUCAUGAAAUACGCGUCCAGACAUGGAUCAAUCCCACCCGGAAUUGGGUUUCACAUCCCGGAAGCAGAGAUGUACACAUGGGUCACUUUCAUCGACUCUCUGCGGCCAUGGCCAUAGGUAUCCAUCAUACAGACCAUUGACUGGUUGUGACCAUGAAGGUACAGAUUCAUCACGGAGAGAGGCUGCGGUGGACGAGGUCAGCGGAAAGCAGCGACUACUUCUCGUCUGCAACCAUGUGGAAAUGGAGCCUUUUGAGAUAUUUUCAAAAUGAUGACGCUGAGGAUAAAUAACGCAGUGAUGUCGUCUUGAUCUGAACUCCACACAGUGCUGGGCUUGGCUGAGGAUUGAAGGAGAGAAGAUGAAGGGAAGGAUGAUGGAGAGCUGGAUGAGGGAAAGACGAGGAAAAGAAGAUGGUGAAGAUUGAUUUUCAUUGACUUGGCUCCAGCGCACUGACAACUGUGAGAUUCCAAUAACCAGCCUGAAACACGUGCAUACACACUGCAGAGAUAUGGUGAAUAGUUGGGAAAUAUUAGCAAAUGUUUUCAACUGCGAUCAGUCUGAUAACACUUGAGAAUAAAAAA